rnacentral:rRNA from 1 species
UUUGAUGGCCAUACCACCCUGAAUGUGCCCGAUCUUGUCUGAUCUCGGAAGCUAAGCAGGGUAGAGCCUGGUUAGUAUUUGGAUGGGAAAAGUGGUUUCUUAUUCUAGGUUUCAUGAUGC